AGUCUUACAAAUGCCAUCAGUUGGCAUACGUUUUGCCGGCGACGGAACUGCUUGCUGGAUCACUCUGCCGCAAGUGUGAAAGUACCCUUUGACAAACCAAUAAUCGUCCAGAUUAUCGGGAACAACCGUUCCUGCAAACGCUUGUUCCCCUUAAUCUGGCCAUCUAAAUGUGCCGCCGAUCACCAGAUGAACGAGGAAAAUGCUCGUUCAUCGAGUGAUCCUGUCGUUCGUGCAGGUACAGUUUGUUGUCUCUGUUCUAGUGACAGGUGCGGGUCCCAGAGGUGGGACUCACAACUAUCAGACAUUGGUAGCAUAUCCUAGCGAUAUGCCACCAAUGUAUGAGAUGGUUUUAAGUAUAAAUUAUACAUUUUACUGAAUCUUUUCCCACAAUACUAUAUAUCAAUUUGCUCAGCAGAUCACACUGCAUUUUGUGGGGACACGUUCUCUUUAACUGUGAAAUGUGAAAAUAGUUGUACUGCACAUAUAGGUCAUUUAAUUUGCUUUUAUAAUUGAUGUUUGUACCUCUAUGUGUCCCUUUAUUUUUUUAAUGAAGCAAUACUGUAUUUUUAUAAUUGAGCAAUAAAGUUUUUAAUGCUUGACAAUAUUUAAAAUGUUUUGGGAAAAAGGUAGAAAUAAAGGUCUGUCCACAUCUGCA